AGAGUUUGAUCCUGGCUCAGGAUGAACGCUAGCGGCAGGCUUAAUACAUGCAAGUCGUGGGACGGUAGCAAUACUGGACCGGCAAACGGGUGCGUAACACGUACACAACUUUCCGUCAAGUGGGGGAUAGCCUAAAGAAAUUUGGAUUAAUACCCCAUAGAAUAGCGAGGUGGCAUCACCAUGCUAUUAAAGCUCCGGCG
rnacentral:rRNA from 1 species